UGGAGGGGGAUAACUACUGGAAACGGUAGCUAAUACCGCAUAACGUCGCAAGACCAAAGAGGGGGACCUUCGGGCCUCUUGCCAUCGGAUGUGCCCAGAUGGGAUUAGCUUGUUGGUGGGGUAACGGCUCACCAAGGCGACGAUCCCUAGCUGGUCUGAGAGGAUGACCAGCCACACUGGAACUGAGACACGGUCCAGACUCCUACGGGAGGCAGCAGUGGGGAAUAUUGCACAAUGGGCGCAAGCCUGAUGCAGCCAUGCCGCGUGUAUGAAGAAGGCCUUCGGGUUGUAAAGUACUUUCAGCGGGGAGGAAGGGAGUAAAGUUAAUACCUUUACUCAUUGACGUUACCCGCAGAAGAAGCACCGGCUAACUCCGUGCCAGCAGCCGCGGUAAUACGGAGGGUGCAAGCGUUAAUCGGAAUUACUGGGCGUAAAGCGCACGCAGGCGGUUUGUUAAGUCAGAUGUGAAAUCCCCGGGCUCAACCUGGGAACUGCAUCUGAUACUGGCAAGCUUGAGUCUCGUAGAGGGGGGUAGAAUUCCAGGUGUAGCGGUGAAAUGCGUAGAGAUCUGGAGGAAUACCGGUGGCGAAGGCGGCCCCCUGGACGAAGACUGACGCUCAGGUGCGAAAGCGUGGGGAGCAAACAGGAUUAGAUGCCCUGGUAGUCCACGCCGUAAACGAUGUCGACUUGGAGGUUGUGCCCUUGAGGCGUGGCUUCCGGAG
rnacentral:rRNA from 1 species